UGAACGCUAGCUACAGGCUUAACACAUGCAAGUCGAGGGGAAACGACAUCGAAAGCUUGCUUUUGAUGGGCGUCGACCGGCGCACGGGUGAGUAACGCGUAUCCAACCUGCCCACCACUUGGGGAUAACCUUGCGAAAGUAAGACUAAUACCCAAUGAUAUCUCUAGAAGACAUCUGAAAGAGAUUAAAGAUUUAUCGGUGAUGGAUGGGGAUGCGUCUGAUUAGCUUGUUGGCGGGGUAACGGCCCACCAAGGCAACGAUCAGUAGGGGUUCUGAGAGGAAGGUCCCCCACAUUGGAACUGAGACACGGUCCAAACUCCUACGGGAGGCAGCAGUGAGGAAUAUUGGUCAAUGGGCGAGAGCCUGAACCAGCCAAGUAGCGUGCAGGAUGACGGCCCUAUGGGUUGUAAACUGCUUUUAUAAGGGAAUAAAGUGAGUCUCGUGAGACUUUUUGCAUGUACCUUAUGAAUAAGGACCGGCUAAUUCCGUGCCAGCAGCCGCGGUAAUACGGAAGGUCCGGGCGUUAUCCGGAUUUAUUGGGUUUAAAGGGAGCGUAGGCCGGAGAUUAAGCGUGUUGUGAAAUGUAGACGCUCAACGUCUGCACUGCAGCGCGAACUGGUUUCCUUGAGUACGCACAAAGUGGGCGGAAUUCGUGGUGUAGCGGUGAAAUGCUUAGAUAUCACGAAGAACUCCGAUUGCGAAGGCAGCUCACUGGAGCGCAACUGACGCUGAAGCUCGAAAGUGCGGGUAUCGAACAGGAUUAGAUACCCUGGUAGUCCGCACGGUAAACGAUGGAUGCCCGCUGUUGGUCUGAAUAGGUCAGCGGCCAAGCGAAAGCAUUAAGCAUCCCACCUGGGGAGUACGCCGGCAACGGUGCAACUCAAAUGAAUUGACGG
rnacentral:rRNA from 1 species